GAUGAACGCUGGCGGCGUGCCUAAUACAUGCAAGUCGAACGCGAGAGGAGGGAGCUUGCUCCCUCUGAUCGAGUGGCGGACGGGUGAGUAACACGUAGGCAACCUGCCCAUCAGCCGGGGAUAACUGCGGGAAACCGUGGCUAAUACCGGAUAAUCCUCUCCACCGCGGGGUGGGGAGUUGAAAGACGGUUUCGGCUGUCGCUGAUGGAUGGGCCUGCGGCGCAUUAGCUGGUUGGCGGGGUAACGGCCCACCAAGGCAACGAUGCGUAGCCGCCCUGAGAGGUUGACCGGCCACACUGGGACUGAGACACGGCCCAGAAUCCGACGGGAGGCAGCAGUAGGGAAUCUUCCGCAAUGGACGAAAGUCUGACGGAGCAACGCCGCGUGAGUGAUGAAGGCUUUCGGGUCGUAAAACUCUGUUGUUAGGGAAGAACAAGUGCUAGUUGAAUAAGCUGGCACCUUGACGGUACCUAACCAGAAAGCCACGGCUAACUACGUGCCAGCAGCCGCCGUAA
rnacentral:rRNA from 1 species